rnacentral:rRNA from 1 species
UACAGAGGAGCCAAGCGUUGUCCGGAUUGACUGGGCGUAAAGCGCACGCAGGUGGUCGUGCAAGUGUCGUGUGAAAGCGACUCGCUCAACGAGCUGAGGCAUGGCAGACUGCAUCACUCGAGCCCGUGAGAGGUCGGUGGAAUUGCCGGUGUAGUGGUGAAAUGCGUAGAGAUCGGCAGGAACACCCGGGGGGAAGCCAGCCGACUGGCACGGUGCUGACACUGAGGUGCGACAGCGUGGGGAGCAAACGGG